rnacentral:rRNA from 1 species
GCUUACGGCUAUAUCAGCCUGGGUACGCCCGAUCUCGUCUGAUCUCGGAAUCUAAGCAGGGUCGGGCCUGGUUAGUACUUGGAUGGGAGACCGCCUGGGAAUACCAGGUGCUGUAAGCA